rnacentral:tRNA from 1 species
GCCGCGGCGAUAGCUCAGUGGGUAAAGAGCCAGGUGAGAAGGGGGCGAUUACUCCGAGAGCUAUUAUCUGCGCGGGUUCGAGUCCCGCCUUUGGCA